GUAUUGUGAAUGAAAGGUGAAAAGAAUUCCGAAAGGUAGGUGAAAUAGUACUGA
rnacentral:rRNA from 1 species